rnacentral:rRNA from 1 species
GGCGAACGGGUGAGUACAACAUCGGAACGUAUCCUGGAGUGGGGGAUAACCUCGAGAAAUCGAGGCUAAUACCGCAUGAUCUCUGAGGAGCAAAGCGGGGGACUUUCGGGCCUCGCGCUGUUGGAGCGGCCGAUGCCGGAUUAGCUUGUUGGUGGGGUAAAGGCCUACCAAGGCGAUGAUCCGUGGCUGGUCUGAGAGGAUGAUCAGCCACACUGGAACUGAGACACGGUCCAGACUCCUACGGGAGGCAGCAGUGGGGAAUUUUGGGAAUGGGGGCAACCCUGAUCCAGCCAUGCCGCGUGCGGGAAGAAGGCCUUCGGGUUGUAAACCGCUUUCGUACGGAACGAAAUGGUGCGGGUUAAUACCCCGUACUGAUGACGGUACCGUAAGAAGAAGCACCGGCUAACUACGUGCCAGCAGCCGCGGUAAUACGUAGGGUGCGAGCGUUAAUCGGAAUUACUGGGCGUAAAGCGUGCGCAGGCGGCUCUUUAAGACAGGUGUGAAAUCCCCGGGCUUAACCUGGGAAUUGCGCUUGUGACUGGAGAGCUCGAGUGC